GCAUCUACCGAUUGAAUGGAGAGGUAAAAUCUCCGGACUAUGACGCGUUGGGGUCAAACCUUAUGCAGUCGUGGGAAGUGGAUUAAACCUUUCCAUUUAGAGGAAGAUGAAGUCGUAACAAGGUUUCCGUAGGUGAACCUGCAGAAGGAUCAAGAUUGGAAGAGCACACGUCAGGACUCCAGUUACGUGGCCUUACCUCCUAUGCCGUCCUCCUCCUGAAAAAAAAAACGUACUACCACAGCUGAUGUCACCUAUUUAGCCUUGGCUUACUACUUUU
rnacentral:misc_RNA from 1 species